AAAAAAGGUAAGCUACUAAGAGCGAAUGGUGGAUGCCUUGACUGGUAAAGGCGAUGAAGGACGUACUAGACUGCGAUAAGCUACGGGGAGCUGUCAAGAAGCUUUGAUCCGUAGAUUUCCGAAUGGGGCAACCCAAUGUAUAGAGAUAUACAUUACCUAUAUAGGAGCGAACGAGGGGAAUUGAAACAUCUUAGUACCCUCAGGAAAAGAAAUCAAUAGAGAUUGCGUCAGUAGCGGCGAGCGAAAGCGCAAGAGGGCAAACCCAGUGCUUGCACUGGGGGUUGUAGGACUGCAAUGUGCAAGAGGUAAGUUUAGCAGAACAUUCUGGAAAGUAUAGCCAUAGAGGGUGAUAGUCCCGUAUGCGAAAAACAAACCUUAGCUAGCAGUAUCCUGAGUAGGGCGGGACACGAGGAAUCCUGUCUGAAUCUGGGUCGACCACGAUCCAACCCUAAAUACUAAUACCAGAUCGAUAGUGCACAAGUACCGUGAGGGAAAGGUGAAAAGAACUGAGGUGAUCAGAGUGAAAUAGAACCUGAAACCAUUUGCUUACAAUCAUUCAGAGCCCUAUGUAGCAAUACAGGGUGAUGGACUGCCUUUUGCAUAAUGAGCCUGCGAGUUGUGGUGUCUGGCAAGGUUAAGCAAACGCGAAGCCGUAGCGAAAGCGAGUCUGAAUAGGGCGCUUAGUCAGAUGCUGCAGACCCGAAACGAAGUGAUCUAUCCAUGAGCAAGUUGAAGCUAGUGUAAGAACUAGUGGAGGACUGAACCCAUAGGCGUUGAAAAGCCCCGGGAUGACUUGUGGAUAGGGGUGAAAGGCCAAUCAAACUUCGUGAUAGCUGGUUCUCUCCGAAAUAUAUUUAGGUAUAGCGUUGUGUCGUAAUAUAAGGGGGUAGAGCACUGAAUGGGCUAGGGCAUACACCAAUGUACCAAACCCUAUCAAACUCCGAAUACCUUAUAUGUAAUCACAGCAGUCAGGCGGCGAGUGAUAAAAUCCGUCGUCAAGAGGGAAACAACCCAGACUACCAGCUAAGGUCCCUAAAUCUUACUUAAGUGGAAAACGAUGUGAAGUUACUUAAACAACCAGGAGGUUGGCUUAGAAGCAGCCAUCCUUUAAAGAAAGCGUAAUAGCUCACUGGUCUAGUGAUUUUGCGCGGAAAAUAUAACGGGGCUAAAGUAAGUACCGAAGCUGUAGACUUGCACACAACUUAGAUUAUUUAAGUUUAGAAUAUGAGAAACUAAGUUAUAUGUUUAGUUAUAUUUUUACUGAUUUUUAUAGAGUAAAGAUAGAAAUAAAACUUAGUAAAAUCAGUAAAAAUAUUCUUAGACUAAAGUUAAGUAGUUUAAGUUGUGUGCAAGUGGUAGGAGAGCGUUCUAUUUGCGUCGAAGGUAUACCGGUAAGGAGUGCUGGAGCGAAUAGAAGUGAGCAUGCAGGCAUGAGUAGCGAUAAUUAAUGUGAGAAUCAUUAACGCCGUAAACCCAAGGUUUCCUACGCGAUGCUCGUCAUCGUAGGGUUAGUCGGGUCCUAAGUCGAGUCCGAAAGGGGUAGACGAUGGCAAAUUGGUUAAUAUUCCAAUACCAACAUUAGUGUGCGAUGGAAGGACGCUUAGGGCUAAGGGGGCUAGCGGAUGGAAGUGCUAGUCUAAGGUCGUAGGAGGUUAUACAGGCAAAUCCGUAUAACAAUACUCCGAGAACUGAAAGGCUUUUUGAAGUCUUCGGAUGGAUAGAAGAACCCCUGAUGCCGUCGAGCCAAGAAAAGUUUCUAAGUUUAGCUAAUGUUGCCCGUACCGUAAACCGACACAGGUGGGUGGGAUGAGUAUUCUAAGGCGCGUGGAAGAACUCUCUUUAAGGAACUCUGCAAAAUAGCACCGUAUCU
rnacentral:rRNA from 1 species